UACGUAGGGUGCAAGCGUUGUCCGGAAUACUGGGCGUAAAGCGUGCGCAGGCGGUGAUGUAAGACAGAUGUGAAAUCCCCGGGCUCAACCUGGGAACUGCAUUUGUGACUGCAUCGCUGGAGUGCGGCAGAGGGGGAUGGAAUUCCGCGUGUAGCAGUGAAAUGCGUAGAUAUGCGGAGGAACACCGAUGGCGAAGGCAAUCCCCUGGGCCUGCACUGACGCUCAUGCACGAAAGCGUGGGGAGCAAACAGG
rnacentral:rRNA from 1 species